UUUUUUUUAAUUGCGUGGCUCCUGUUUGUUUUGUGUUGAUGCUGCGAUGAAAUUUUUGCAGGCAAGAAAAUAUGCCACUUAGAUUGUUGCAAAUUUACAGAGGCAGCAGGUUCAGUCCAAGCUCAUCGCCUCUGAUUACUUGGAUACUAAUUUGGAUCUUAUGGAUGUCUUGGUAUUUGGGUCAUUUUGGUCAUGGCUUUAUAUCAAAUAUGUUCUGGACUCACUACGAAGAAGUUUUUUGACUACAUUCAGCUUCCAAAUUUUGACAUAGCUGUAGAUGCCACAGCAACUUUUAAGGAGCUAAUGACAAGGCAUAAAUCUACUGUAGCUGAUUUCCUUAGCAAUUAUUAUGAAUGGGUAGUUUUGACACUUGUCUAUUGAGAUGUCACUUUUUGUCAUAUUCUUAGCAUGGAUGUUAUGCUUGAUUUGUGAAGGAGAAAAAAAGUUUUUUUUUCUUUUCAUGAUGAAAGUUAAUGACUUGGCUUGUGAGUGUGUCAGCUACUAGGUAUUGUGUUCAAGGAUGUAAAAUAUUAAAUAUCACUCAAAGCUUUCUGAACAAUGCGGUCAUUAAUUGCUGAUUUCCUGCUUUUUGGUUUGGUUACUGGAACAUGAUGAAUUGUUCUUAUGCUAGGUAUAGUGUUUCAUUUUUAAAAGCCAUGUAUGAGUCGUAGUCAAGACUGCAUUCUAAAUUUGUAAUAGAAAGCAUAUUUUCUAAGAUGUUUUGUAUGUAA